rnacentral:misc_RNA from 1 species
UUCCGAUUUUCAAGUGGUGUCAGCUCCCUGGUACUAAUAAACUUGCUAGAAGAAAAACCAUAAGUCCUUUCUGCAUAGUGCGGCGCAUUGGAUGCAAAACGCAUUCCAUCCUCAUCGAGCCUUCUCUGUUUAAAAACUGUCUGUCUAGUCUGUGAAUCAUCGCGUUCUCUUUUCAUUCUCUCAUGUGCCUGCUGGACAACAUUUGCUGCUUUUGCUGCAAUGGAAGGAUCGGAGCUACCAACACCACCCAUUCUGGAAAAUGGAUCCUGCUGAAAAUUUGAGUAUUUCGCAGUAUUAGAAUGUGCUGCUGCUUUUG